AUUUCAUCACCCAAAAUACACUUUAACAAUAGACAAUAAUUAUUUCCCUUAUUGAGAUUGGCAGCCACCAGGGAAAGGGAAAUUUUGGUAGUUACAAUUGGGAAGAUGAAGGAUAGAGAGGUAUAUUUUGAGAAAAAAGUGUAGAUGGGGUAGCAGUUUGGAUUAUUGUGGUGUCACAUGAGGACUCUUAUCCCAGGGGGGUUGGAUAAACUAGGUAGGGUAAAUGCUUUUGAUUACUUUUGCAUACCUGUCUUUGGUUCUAUUGCUUGUUUUGCCAUGAAAGUAAUUUAAAAUUCUAGAUUAACGAUGCCUAAGUUCGAGUAUUAGGUCUGAUUUGGAGGGAUCAAAUUUUAUUAUCAGUGUUUACUUAGCAGUUUCACUUUGUCUAGCCCAGGACUUCCUUAAUGUUUCUCUCCUUUCCAUUCUUCCUUCAGAGUCACGGAGAAGAGGAGACAGCGUGUGCAAGGGAAUGAAGAAAAGGACCAAGACUAUUUUCAAAUCACCCAUGGCACUACUAGAAAAGUAUUUCAGCAAAAAGACUGGCUGAUUUUAUGAUUCCUGUGUCCACCACAUCCCUCUAAUUUUUACAUACGUACCCCACAUCUCUCCAGAUUUCAGGAAGACUAUUAUUCUUUGACUUUAGCUUUCUGAUGGGUUCACAAAAAGCUGUUAGUGUGCUGUUGGUCCAGCUUUUUUCUUGUUGGAAAUAUGAGAGCUACAGUUCUGCGAUGAAACCACAGAGUCACGGAGAAGAGGAGACAGCGUGUGCAAGGGAAUGAAGAAAAGGACCAAGACUAUUUUCAAAUCACCCAUGGCACUACUAGAAAAGUAUUUCAGCAAAAAGACUGGCUGAUUUUAUGAUUCCUGUGUCCACCACAUCCCUCUAAUUUUUACAUAAUGCACCCCACAUCUCUCCAGAUUUCAGGAAGACUAUUAUUCUUUGACUUUAGCUUUCUGAUGGGUUCACAAAAAGCUGUUAGUGUGCUGUUGGUCCAGCUUUUUUCUUGUUGGAAAUAUGAGAGCUACAGUUCUGCGAUGAAACCACAGUUGUUGAGGAUUUCAGAUAUGGACUCUGGAGCUCAUGUUCUAAAGAAAUCCAUGUAUUUUCCAGCACUCAAUCCUCACUGCCAAAACUGUCAAGAACGUAAAGGGUCUGAGAUUGUACCCUACUUGCAAGGUAACAAGUUAACCUCGCAUAAUUUCAUGUCUGCUGGUAGAAGCUAUGACACUCCUGAGUCAGAAGUAAAGAACUGCUUAUAUUGUUUAUUUCUCACGGUAAUAGCAGUAACCAGAAUAUAA
rnacentral:lncRNA from 1 species